rnacentral:rRNA from 1 species
GAUGAACGCUAGCUACAGGCUUAACACAUGCAAGUCGAGGGGAAACGACAUCGAAAGCUUGCUUUUGAUGGGCGUCGAUCGGCGCACGGGUGAGUAACGCGUAUCCAACCUGCCCAUCACUUGGGGAUAACCUUGCGAAAGUAAGACUAAUACCCAAUGAUAUCUCUAGAAGACAUCUGAAAGAGAUUAAAGAUUUAUCGGUGAUGGAUGGGGAUGCGUCUGAUUAGCUUGUUGGCGGGGUAACGGCCCACCAAGGCAACGAUCAGUAGGGGUUCUGAGAGGAUGGUCCCCCACAUUGGAACUGAGACACGGUCCAAACUCCUACGGGAGGCAGCAGUGAGGAAUAUUGGUCAAUGGGCGAGAGCCUGAACCAGCCAAGUAGCGUGCAGGAAGACGGCCCUAUGGGUUGUAAACUGCUUUUAUAAGGGAAUAAAGUGAGAGUCGUGACUCUUUUUGUAUGUACCUUAUGAAUAAGGACCGGCUAAUUCCGUG